ACGUGUUUGGUGUAAAGGUAACAUAGCAGACUCCAAAUCUGUUAGAUGUGGGUUCGAAUCCUACAGCACGUG
rnacentral:tRNA from 1 species